rnacentral:rRNA from 1 species
GUGAGCAGUCGGUAAGAGACAUUACGACUCACGGAUUUCCGAAUGGGGAAACCCACUCAGCAUAAGCUGGGUAUCGCUACGUGAAUACAUAGCGUAGCGAGGCGAACCGGGAGAACUGAAACAUCUAAGUACCCCGAGGAAAAGAAAUCAACCGAGAUUCCCUCAGUAGCGGCGAGCGAACGGGGAUUAGCCCUUAAGCAUCUUGGAAGUUAGUGGAACGGUCC